GUGGGGAAUAUUCCGCAAUGGACGAAAGUCUGACGGAGCAACGCCGCGUGAGUGAUGAAGGUUUUCGGACUGUAAAGCUCUGUUGUUUGGGACGAAAGUGCCUGUUGCGAACAGUUACGGGUAUUGACGGUACUAAACGAGGAAGCCACGGCUAACUACGUGCCAGCAGCCGCGGUAAUACGUAGGUGGCAAGCGUUGUCCGGAAUUAUUGGGCGUAAAGAGCAUGUAGGCGGGAAUCUAAGUCUGUUGUUAAGAUGCGGGGCUCAACCCCGUAUUGCGAUGGAAACUGGGUUUCUUGAGUGCAGGAGAGGAAAGGGGAAUUCCCAGUGUAGCGGUGAAAUGCGUAGAUAUUGGGAGGAACACCAGUGGCGAAGGCGCCUUUCUGGACUGUGUCUGACGCUGAGAUGCGAAAGCCAGGGUAGCGAACGGGAUUAGAAACCCUGGUAGUCC
rnacentral:rRNA from 1 species